CAAUUGUCAAAACAAAGACGAUAGUGGUUCGGCAGAGUAAACCUAGUGCAAGUGCCAGUUAUCAGCUCAGUGAAUUUUCUAAUUUUUCCUAUUAUUUUCUACCUUAUUAGUUGAAUUUUUUUUACUAUAAUUAUAUACUUCUACGAGAAAUUCUUAAGCUAUGUUAUCAUAAAACAUAACCUUAGCGAAUGAGUCUGCCUAGUGAGUCAGCAAGAAAUAGCUAAACGAUUGGAAAGGAAAUAGUUGAAGUUUAGUUGUGGCGAAAUAGGAGAUUAAGUCUCAUACCGCAUGAAAAGAAUUGGCCUAUCACUAUAAAAUUCUACAGCUGAUCCUAAUACGACUACGGUUUUUGUGAUCUGCUACGGGAAAUAGUGGGCUUCUCGUUACUUGAAGUAACAGGUAGUAUACAUCUAUGACCAUUCCUGGUACAUUUUGCAUUAAAUGAAUCGGAUAUUCGGAUUAAAUACAUGGUUUCGAGAUAAACGUAUUUAAUGCGGUUCACUACAAAAAUUCAAACCCAUUAACAAACAUUGGCUUCUAUAGAAUAUGUAUGUAUGAGAUCGACUACCGUCAUAAAGUGAAUUUCUAAACAUAAGGACUUAAUUUAUUGAAUAUUUCGUGACCAAUUCCAAUAUACGCUGUCGUUGUCCUCCAAAUUACGACAGAAUCAGAGCAAAUCUAUCAGCUGUAAGAAAAGUACUCUAUGCGUUAUAUAUUAUAAAACAUUCGUUCACAGUACUAAAUUGAUACAACUAGCGGACUAUAUUAGAAGAAAUCUCUAAUGAAUGAUUUUGCGCACUUUCCACUAACCUGAACUCUGCACUUCAAAAGUGUGAGUAAUCAAGCUGCUAAUGAAAACUGCGAGCUGUCAAAACACAUGUAUUUGAAGUUAUAGAGAUGGUACUCUCAUAGACAAGCCAGUCGAACUAACCAGUCUUUGAGAUAAUUUUUUAGUAGAAUGUUAAGUGCGAAUAGUUUUUGUGCCACAAGCAAUACUUGCAUUGAAAUAGUAAUUUUUACUUGCUCGUCAACUCCUCACGCUGGCUUUUCCCAGAUAACGAAUUAACUGGUUUAUUUUGCCGAUUGGUAUUUUCCCGAAUGGGUUGUUUUGCCGAAUUAAGUAUAAAAAGUUAUUUUCAAUGGCAAUUAAAUAGUAUAAAGGAUGAUUCAAUAUUUAAAUUUGACAAAAAGCAUGGAUGUGAAAUGAUAAAUUAUAGAAUAAAUGUAAAGAAUAGUUAAGGUAAUUAUUAAAAUCAAACUUUAAAUGAAAAUAAUUUCUCUUUGAGCGUUUUGGUGGAAUGCUGAAAAUGAAAAUUUUGAAAAUGCUGAAUUUAAAUGAAAAUUAAAAUGCCUAAAGAAAUGAAAUAUCUCUGCAUUAAUUCCUACUAUCGUGAUUCACUUGCUUCUCUUAUUCAUACACAUAAUCUUAGGUUUAGAUCAUUUCAGCAAGUAUAUACCAAAGUUUUAUAAAUCUGUACUAAUUGAGAUUUGAACACGACUGAACAACAUUGUUACUACUAAUAAUACUGUAAUACUGAUUCUUCUUGACGAAAAAAACAGUUUGCACAAUACUGUUCAAAUAAUUACUCACGAUAAUUUACUAUAUAUUAGUGAGACGGAACUUUAUUCCAUUUACCAUCUUAGUAAAAUUGGUAG